UGGGGAAUUUUGGACAAUGGGCGAAAGCCUGAUCCAGCAAUGCCGCGUGUGUGAAGAAGGCCUUCGGGUUGUAAAGCACUUUUGUCCGGAAAGAAAUCCUUGGCUCUAAUACAGUCGGGGGAUGACGGUACCGGAAGAAUAAGCACCGGCUAACUACGUGCCAGCAGCCGCGGUAAUACGUAGGGUGCAAGCGUUAAUCGGAAUUACUGGGCGUAAAGCGUGCGCAGGCGGUUUGCUAAGACCGAUGUGAAAUCCCCGGGCUCAACCUGGGAACUGCAUUGGUGACUGGCAGGCUAGAGUAUGGCAGAGGGGGGUAGAAUUCCACGUGUAGCAGUGAAAUGCGUAGAGAUGUGGAGGAAUACCGAUGGCGAAGGCAGCCCCCUGGGCCAAUACUGACGCUCAUGCACGAAAGCGUGGGGAGCAAACAGGAUUCAGAUACCCUGGUAGUCCACGCCCUAAACGAUGUCAACUAGUUGUUGGGGAUUCAUUUCCUUAGUAACGUAGCUAACGCGUGAAGUUGACCGCCUGGGGAGUAC
rnacentral:rRNA from 1 species